UAGGUGAAGCAGACAGCCGCGGGCUAAGGAGGGAUCCUUAGCGUGAGGAAAGUCCGGGCUCCACAGGGCAAGGGUGCCUGAUAACGUCAGGUGAGGGUAACCUUAAGGAAAGUGCAACAGAGAUAUACCGCCGUGAAAACGGUAAGGGUGAAAAGGUGGGGUAAGAGCCCACCGGCGGGGUGGUAACAUUCCGCGUCCAUGUAAACCCCACCCGGAGCAAGACCAAGCAGGGAGGUAAUUGCGUUCGCGCAUAAUGCCUGAAAGGCGGCUGCCCGUCGCUUCCCGGAAGGUAGGUCGCUUGAGCCUUCGGUGACGAAAGGCCUAGAAAGAUGGUUGUCUAAUACAGAACCCGGCUUAUAGCUUCACCUAUGAU
rnacentral:RNase_P_RNA from 1 species